UCGUAUCAGGCCCACACCUUUGUGUACUGCUGUCAUAUUUGAGAGGGAAUCCAGCCAAGAAAGAUAGAUACACUAGGGACUUCUUUACAGAUGGAUAGGUUGUCCAGAAAAAGCGAGAACAUUCAAACAACCAGGAAUUGCAUCAUCGCAAUCACAAACCAUGAUUUUUGAGUCCACACCAGCUUCCGCAAUCUGACAAAGGAGAGAAUUUAUUGGAAGGAUCCAUGGGUAACCGACGACGAGGAAUUACAAGAUGUGAAGGAUUUCCACCAAUUUGAAUUAAACUAAUUUGAAUGAGUUCCUUACAUAUGAAAAAAUUACCAUUUUUUGCCUGUUUCCAAAUAUGUGCAAGAAGUAUACAGGGAUUGAAAGCUGAGAAAGAGACAAAAAUUCCUUUUCAAUGUUACAUAUUAUAUAUAGUUAUGUAUGACAGUGAGUCUAUCAACAGUGCAAUAAUGAUAAACAUGUGAAGUGUUUGCUAAUAAAACAUGAUAAAUUUUCUGAAAGUGUCAUUUAGAUGUGUUUGAUAGAUACCUGUAGUUCUCAUACAGUACAUAUUGAAAAAAGCCUCAUGGGAGGCAAAUUUAAUGAAGAGGAUGUGCAUAGAUACAGUGUAUAUAUGACAUACCAUACAUAUAGAAUAUUUAUUG